rnacentral:rRNA from 1 species
CCUACGGGAGGCAGCAGUGAGGAAUAUUGGUCAAUGGACGAGAGUCUGAACCAGUCAAGUAGCGUGAGGGAUGACGGCCCUAUGGAUUGUAAACUUCUUUUGUAAGGGAGUAAAAAGAGGCACGUGUGCUUAUUUGCAUGUACUUUAUGAAUAAGGAUCGGCUAACUCCGUGCCAGCAGCCGCGGUAAUACGGAGGAUACGAGCGUUAUCCGGAUUUAUUGGGUUUAAAGGGAGCGUAGAUGGGUGUUGAAGGAAGUUGUGAAAGUUUGGGGCUCAACCGUAGAAUUGCAUUUGAUACUGGGAGUCUAGAGUACAGUUGAGGUAGGCGGAAUUCGUGGUGUAGCGGUGAAAUGCUUAGAUAUCACGAAGAACCCCGAUUGCGAAGGCAGCUUACUAAACUGUAACUGACAUUGAUGCUCGAAAGUGUGGGUAUCAAACAGGAUUAGAUACCCGAGUAGUC